rnacentral:lncRNA from 1 species
GGCACUUGCAACUUUAUUGCGCCAGCAAGAACAUGCAUACAGCCCAGUCUAACGUACAGGAUCAAAAAGAGACCUUAUUUCGGCUGGCAAUUACCUUACCCGCUUGUUCAUUAUCUGACUCCUGCACUCCUCCCAAGUGUUCAAUGUUAACCAGAUGGCAAAGUUAACCAGACAGAGGAAAUCCACAUAAUUACUCUAGAUGAAGCCCCCUAACUGCGGAUUAGAAGGAAAAGAGAUGAAGGGUGCUGCACUAAUAAUAACAACCAUUUUCAACCAAGGCAGGAUUCUGGGCCUAGAAUCUUCAGUGACAAAUUACCAGGAGAGGAGGAGGGAAAUGAAGAGCUGGAGGCCUAGGGAGAUGGUGUGAGGAGAGGAGACUGUGCCUUUCCACUUCUUAAUAAUUAAUGUUCUCCUGCUGCUCUGAGUCUGCAUCACCAGUGAUUCAGUUUGAGUCAGACAUCCAACAACAACUGAGCAAAAGAAUCAUCUCAGAUCCAAGCAAUGGUGACGCGCAGAUAGAAGAGACUGAGGCCAACGACCAAAGCAAAGGACAGCAGAACUGACUGACACAGCUCAGAAAAUAUCCAAAGCUCUGUAUGCUCUGGAAAGGAAGACAAGAAAUGCUAAAGACUCUGGAUAUUGCUCUGUUUCUAUAAGGUCCCACCCAUAUACCAUCUCUUCUUUUGGAUUUCCUUUGGCAGGGUUCCCUUGUAUGGAAGUUCUCAGGAGAACAACACUCUCAGAGUCCCACUGUCUCAAAGAAUUCUUAAUGGACAGGUAUUUUUAAAGAAGUCAGGGUUAUCCACAGCUAUGUACAUAUAAUACCAAAUCAGAUCAUUUAUUCUGUACCUGAGGCAAAAAAGCUUCUGAUUCCUGAAUGGAUUUCUUCACUGGUUCUUCUGGGGGAUGAGAGAGAGAAACCAUUUACAAAGCUGAAGGAGAGCUAAGUCCACCCCUACACUGGCUGAGUUUCUUUGUAUAACAACUGUUCUCCCUUCCUAUUUUCUUCAAUUAUCUCUUCUUUCCCCAGCUAUACUUGGCCCCAAGGUUUCAACCUCACACUGAAGAAAGUGACAUAAGAAAACACAAGUCCCAGUGCUAUCAGGGGCUAUCUGGAAAAGCUGCUUAAACAGCAAGUGAAAGAAGGCUCUCCCCUACCCCGUUCUAGGUGAGGAACAGGUGGCUGACUCACCCUGAAGUUAUUUGAAGGAUCCUUGAGACUCUUUUGGAUUGCUGCUUGGAGAACAUUCCUGUAACUUGUCCCUGCUCCUUGAACUAUAAAAGCAGAAGGGAGGUACUGAGUUAAAACUUACAAAUUAUUAUCAAAUAAAUCUUCAAUAGUGGUUCAGUCCAA